GGGCGGGAGGCUCGCACUCUCCCACUUCCCGGGGCUGGCGCACACUGGCCGGCCACAGCCGCCUCUCCCAGUCCCGGCGGCAGCGGCGGCGGCAGCAGCUCAGCUAGCUCCCGGAGCCCACCGCGCAGUUCUUCCCAGCCCUCGGGGCUGCGGUCACCGGCGCCCGUCGGCCCCCACCGACCCUGCGGGGCUCUCACCUCUCGGAUCCCGGCCCUCCUUCGCUCCCUUUCUCCCCGCGUCCAAGUCCGGGCCCCGCAGCGGCCCCUCGGGGUGCGCGGACCGACGGACGGACUGUCGGGCGGCCGGCCGGCGAGUCAGACGGGACCAGGCAAGCGGGGACGGCCGUCGGGGGGCGAGCUCCGGGCCCCGCACCCAGACCCCCGCGCGCACUGCCGGCCGGCUGGGGCCCCCCGGGACCAUGAACAGUAGCACCAAAGGCAGCGGUGGCGGCGGCGGCGGCGGUGGCAGCGGCAGCAGCGGCAGCAGCGAUAAGGAACCCAGCCCGAGCGACGGCGGCCUCCCGGAGGAAGAGGUCCGGACUCUCUUUGUCAGUGGUCUCCCUCUGGACAUCAAGCCUCGGGAGCUUUAUCUGCUUUUCAGACCAUUUAAGGGCUAUGAAGGUUCCCUAAUAAAGCUGACAUCAAAGCAGCCUGUUGGCUUUGUCAGUUUUGAUAGUCGAUCAGAAGCGGAAGCUGCUAAGAAUGCGCUGAAUGGCAUUCGCUUCGAUCCUGAAAUUCCCCAGACGCUGCGGCUAGAGUUUGCCAAGGCAAACACGAAGAUGGCAAAGAACAAACUCGUCGGGACCCCAAACCCCAGCACUCCUCUGCCCAGUACCGCCCCCCAGUUCAUCGCCAGGGAGCCAUAUGAGCUCACAGUGCCUGCACUUUAUCCCAGUACCCCUGAAGUGUGGGCCCCGUACCCUCUGUACCCAGCGGAGUUGGCGCCUGCUCUGCCCCCUCCUGCUUUCACCUAUCCCGCUUCACUGCAUGCCCAGGUUCCCUGGCCCCAACCUGUAGUAGGGGGUCUGUCCCCUCUCCCCUUCCUUCACCACCUGUCCCAGGAAGGCCACUCCAGCUCUGCUCUUUGCUUAAUGAGCAAGUGGAUUCAGAUGCACAAAGCCGUGAACCAUGGAUGCGCUGGCUCCCUCCCUCCGAGGCUACUUCUCAGGGCUGGAAGUCCCGUCAGUUCUGCUGAAUACUGUGUACCAGGUGUGUGAUGGCGGCUACACUUUGUCUUGUGGGUAUUGAUACAAUCUUUGGCAGUGGCUGCUGGUUUCAUGAGCUGUUUUGUAAGACUGCAGCUUACUGGCUUGAAUGAAGCACCACCUGGUUUUGAUUCCUCCAAGACUUUGCCACAGCCUCUAUCACACAUCUGUACUUGUCGAAGAAAAAGUAUAAUAAUAAAUAAAAAUGUUUUUUCUCUUUUACACUGUAUAAUGUAAGAAAUAGUGUUUCUGUGAAUGCGUGGUCUGCCAUCCAUUGCUGUAGAGUUUAAAAGGAAAUUUUAAACAUCACCUAAACACGCAGCAGGAGAGAGUGUUUUUUAUGCCAAAUAUUAUAAGGAUGCCUGGAUUUUCAUACACUGGGUUGGAUCACAGUUUUUGUGUUUGACUUUUGAAUGCUUAGAAUAAGAAUUUUUAUUUUGUAUCCCUUUUAAGCUGCAUGUUUGGGGAAUUUUUAAAAAUCUUAUCAAGCUCUUUUGUAUUGUGAGUUUAUGUAUUUUUGUUGUUCUGGCUCAAGUCUCGGGGAAGAUCCCACAUGGUGUGCAUGUCAGACACAAAGUUGUAUAUAGUUAGGGAGUUAGCGUUUAACUCCCAGUCCUACUGGCAUAUUUAGGUAAGGUUGUCUGGAUCCUUGGCUAGGGGAGUUUCUCUUCUUGGUCUGUUCCUGGCUAGCUGAGCUGAAGUUUUCCGGGUCUAGGUCCCAGAAUUAGGGACCUGGGCCAGUAACAAACCACAGGGUCAGCCAAACUGAAUGGGGAGGGGGAGAGGAAGUGCCUUGCCCUUCCGUGUACUGUCACACCCCUCGAGGAGGAGCACCUAGGGGAAGAAAGGGAAGAGCGCUUGCUUUCCUUAUGAUCAGAAACCUUGCUCAGGGUUGGAGAGAAGCUGACCCAGCCUGUCAAGUCUCCUGCAGGUCACAGCUCUGCAAAGGGAUCCUGCAAACACUAGGUUAGGCUUCUGGAUCUUUGGCAGCCCGAGCCAAACAUAACCGUUUUCUAUUCCUAAGACAAUGUCAGCUCAGCAUAGGAGGAGCCGCUGUAAACUGUACGGAGCUCCGUGUCUUCACACCUUUUGUCGAAAGAGACCUCAGAAUCCAAUCGUCCAUCUGCUUUUGGUCCUACGUUUGUUUUGCGUUACUUGUCUGAUACUUUAGAGGCUAAUAAACAUGUUCACCAUUUUA